GUAACUUUGAAGCAGAUGCUUUGUUUUAUCGUGUCUCUUAAAUACAAAUCUACAAAUUGCUUUAAUAUACUGUUGACAUUUAUGAUAUUAUGAAGAUAUUUUAUAACAACUAAUAUUUUUACAAUUACUAGUAACAUCUUAUUAUAAAUGACCAAGAGCAUUAGUGCUGCGAAAAUGAGUACUUGCAGCGUACUUCCUUGACGAUUACAGCAAUUCUUGGUACAAUAAUUGACAUAUAUUUAUGGUCAAUGACUACGUGUUUGCGAACCAAAAUAGGCCAAUCCAUGAUGACAUCCCCAUGCAGGCAUUCCAACUGAGGCAGAUUGUAUAGAGGUCCUCCGCGCAAUUGUACUCGCGUGCGGUAAUGCACGACGGUCUAUGGUGAUAGAAGCGCCGUCGGCGUUCAUGAUGGUGAGCGGAUUGCCUUGACGAGAAAAUCACGUGGCCGCGGGAAAUGACUUGUUAUAUAAACUAACGAUUAUCUCGGUACUUGUGCAUUGCCACGUCUAAUCCGAUGAGUCUGACACGGCCGUCUCGGCAACUCUACGACAGACGACGUGACGCGUCUAUGUUUGUGUCGCAUUUGUCACGAGUGCGCAAGGAUAACGCAACGAGAUAACGGAUAACGCCCCCGUGAGCCGAUACACGCUAAUCAUGCGUACGCUCGACUCGAUUCUAAUCGAUCGGGAAAGCUUGCAGGCGCGAUAAUCAAGGACAACUAAAAGAAUUAUUGUCGCGUUUCAAGAGAUUUAUCAUUCACGAGGUUCUGAGUGCUUCCUAGAGGAUAUGCGAAGGCGUCGAGUCGGCUCGCGGCAAUCGCGAGGAGAUUUGUGUCACGCGAGUAAAUCAAUCGGUGUGCAGCCGCGUAUCUAGGGCAGCGAAAUGUAAUCGAAUAGUCUAGCUAGACCACGAUGUGAGAAAAUCAGUGCAGAGUACUCGCGGUGCCAGCGGGUGCACGACGAGUAGAAGUAAAGCCAAGAAAGUGGGUCAACGUUGAAACCGGGCGAGUCCGAGAACCAAGUUCAGGGGCAAACUACAGCGCCAUGUCCGGAGCCACGGACUCCUUUCGUGCCUUAGGUUAAGUUCUUUCUCUCUUUCCUUCCCUCGUUGACACAUGUAUGCGCGCGUGGAUGCGUGCACGCGUGUACAGGCCGCGGUCUAUCUCUCGCUCUCUCCUAGGGAGGAGAGAACGCAAAAGAAAAAAGAGAGAGUGCAGGAGGCGGUCUAACGGACUCCGCUCUGGUCUGUCUAGUUUUAUUUUUCCGACGGACCCAAGCUUGGCCAUUCGUUCCGUUUCUUCUCUUGCCCGCCUUGGACCCUCCCUCGCACGCGUGCACGCGUGCAAGAAGGGAGAGGGAGUGAUCGUACCUGCGCUUCCCCUUAUUUUCUCUUUCUCUACGUUAGCUGAUCUUGACCUAGGUCUCACUAGCGCUAUUGCUGCCGCGACCGCCACCGUUGCUUCGAGAGUGCUUUCUCCUGAGCAAACUGGCGUUUCAUGACACAUUUUCGGUCGAACUUGGCCCAGAAAUGACCGAGUUGGAAAGUGUAAGUGAAACCCUUCGCUCUCGAAUAACCGUUCCUAGCCACGACGAUGGUUCGACGCAUCUUUAGACGACUAACGUUUUUCUUUGCUCUCAGAGGUGCGGCUACGUCUCGGAAAUAAUUUGCGGAGAUUUUCAGCAGGAGAAAGAAGCAAGAUUCUAAGGGAAAGGGUCCUCUAAUUUUAUUAUAAAAUAUCUAACAAGAAACUUUCUUUCUCUCUCUCUCUCUCUCUACUAAAAUAUGUAAAAAUAUGAAAUUUUUCAUUAGUUCCAUCACGUAUCUUGACUCAGUCGCUUGAUAUUUUCCAAGACUCUUAAUCUUUCAUAGAAAUCUGUGCGAAGUACAUAUACAAAUUGAUACGAAUUAUUGAUUGAAUUUGUUCUUGCUCAUACGAUCUCUCCCAUACCUUACCGUUGCAACCGUACGAUUCUAUUUCCUGAAUGUGUCGAUCGUAACGGCUGUCGUCGCGACACAACACGGCUGCGUUGCGAUUACGAUAGUUCUCGGCUUGACUUUCCGUUCCUCGAAUUCUCUUUCACUCCUUCAUAACGACGCGCAAAAAAAAUCGAGCGAGUAAAGUGACCUCGACGAAAUCGUCACGAAGGCCGAUCGGCGCGCGCGCGAGCGCGCAUAUUAUGCUCGCUGUACUCCAUCAGCCGGAAGAUAUAUUAUAUCGAUUAACGAUAAAGCGAGCCUAUCUACCUAGUGAACGCACACAGGCGUAGACAGGUAGGCUGAUGGUGGGAAGGUGGUCGGCCUCAAGUAGGCAGAAUAUAGGUAGCCAGCGGGUCACUCGGGCCGUCUGUUUUACGUCUUCGUGCACAUGCUGUUUCGCGCGUAUACAGCGGCGCGUCCGCGCAUUUCAAUCCACUUAUCGCACCGCAUGCGAACCGGCUAAAUCGCGUGCUGCUACACACGCUUCAUAGUGUUAUCUUCGUUUCGAGCGCGUGCUUUCGAACGCGAGAAGCUGUAGGAAGCGCGUGGACACACGCGAAUGAAUGGAAGCGCAAGUGAUUCUUACGCUGUUAAACUCAGUAUCUCACGUAGUCAAUGCUGUGCGGACGUGUAUAUCUAUGCUCUCGCGUUGCCGGUAAAUUGUCCCUGAGGAUAUGCGAUCGGUUUGCCAGGGCGUGGUUUCCUAUGCAGUUUUUGCCCACCUAGAAUGCACUAGGCGGCCUUCGCUGAGAUCGGGAUAUCCCGCCGCUCGUUUCUCCCUCUGCCAUUCCGGAAUCAACCAGCAAUGACACCACUGCCGUCGAAUAAUUUUAUCGUCGUUUUCAUCUCCGAUGAUGAGGACAAUGGAGUCUGCUCGAAAAUGGAAGAAUAAGAAAUUUUACACUGCCAUGGAAAUUUGCCACCUAGUCGUUCCAUCUCUUCACCUCGGUCUCUCGCGGAGACACGCGUGACUCUCGCGCGAAAAAUACGGACACCCGGGAAAAAUUGUGUACGUUUCUUUUGAUAUUCGCGACAUCACCAACGUCUCGCAAUACACCGUAUGGUACAUUGCCGAUGUAACAAUCACAAGAUAUUUUUUUUUUUAGUUAUAUUGCGUAUUAAGACACAGUGAUCAUGCAGAAAUGCAGUGAAAUGGUUAUCACGAGAAAAACGAUACAUUAGCUUUGAUUAUCGCUGAAAAAUUUUUCGAUAUUAUUCGACACUGUUUUAGCCUUAGUAUUACUACACAUCUAAAGAAAGAAAGAUUCUUUAGAUUUAAUAAAAACUAUUAAAAACGAAGAAAUAUAUGCUUUGAAAUAGACAACAAAAACUGUUUAUUUGAAGAAAUAUACGAUUAUUUAAUUAUUUAUUAAUAAUACUUUGAUAUAAUGAAAUAAUACUUUUUUUAAUAAAGAUAAUGUUUCGUAACAUUAUGUGUUGUUUAAAUAAAAUAAAUUUAAACAAAUCAAGAAGAAAUAUUAAAAGAAAUAAUUCUCUCUGUGCACUGGUAGAAAAGGUUACUUGAUUCGUUUAAUGUUAUUCGAAAUUUGAAAUAUAUUAUUAGUAUUAUUUAAAUAACUUAUUUACAUUGAACAAGUAAAUAUUACUUGCUUGUAGUAAAUAUUAUUGGUUUAAUAUAAAACAGAGUAAUUUGAAUAGUACUAAUGAAAUAUUUACUUGAAUCAAGUUAUUUUUUUUAUCAGUCUAAUGCUGCUGUUAGUCGCUACUUGUUGUACUAUCUGCUACUGAUCGAGAUAUUUAUGCGCGCAAUAACAUCGCGUUGUGUGUUACCGUUAUCGCUACUUUAUCAACAUUGUCACGACUAAUAUGAUCACCGUUACUAUACCUUUUUUCUGUUGCUUCAAAUGAUAUCGAUGAUAUCGUCGAACGCCACACACAUAUAAAUUAUUGCAGAAAUAGUAAACAGAGUGGAUUGUUUAGGAAAAUCCCGUUUCCUCUCUUGGCGUGGCUCUUUAAUAUUCACGUUAUAUAAACGUUCUAUCGAGAAUUGUGCAGUUAAUGCAGAUAAAUUUUAAUGAGGCAUUAAAUCACUUUGUUACCGUAAAUAGGAUCAAUCUUGAUUAUUUGUAGGGAGUUUAUAUUCAGUGAUGAUUUUAAUAUUCUACGCUUAAAAAAUA